CCUACGGGAGGCUGCAGUGAGGAAUAUUGGUCAAUGGACGAGAGUCUGAACCAGCCAAGUAGCGUGAAGGAUGACUGCCCUAUGGGUUGUAAACUUCUUUUAUAUGGGAAUAAAACGUUCCACGUGUGGGAUUUUGUAUGUACCAUAUGAAUAAGGAUCGGCUAACUCCGUGCCAGCAGCCGCGGUAAUACGGAGGAUCCGAGCGUUAUCCGGAUUUAUUGGGUUUAAAGGGAGCGUAGGUGGAUUGUUAAGUCAGUUGUGAAAGUUUGCGGCUCAACCGUAAAAUUGCAGUUGAAACUGGCAGUCUUGAGUACAGUAGAGGUGGACGGAAUUCGUGGUGUAGCGGUGAAAUGCUUAGAUAUCACGAAGAACUCCGAUUGCGAAGGCAGUUCACUGGACUGCAACUGACACUGAGGCUCGAAAGUGUGGGUAUCAAACAGGAUUAGAUACCUCAGUAGUC
rnacentral:rRNA from 1 species